GGGACAGUGGCUUAGUGGUUAGCACAUUUGCCUUGUGCCUCUAGGGCUGGGGGUUCAAUUCCCACCUCUGCCC